rnacentral:sRNA from 1 species
GCACCGGGGGCCAAGUGAGCCGUGCUAGUCAGGUGAGCUGGGUCUGGCGGGGAGGUGUGUGUAUGGGGCUCUUUCCUCCUUGGGCCCAGGGCUACUUCCCCCUCCCGCUCUUCUACAGGUCAGCAACUCCGACCACAAAUCCUCCAAAUCCCCAGAGUCCGACUGGAGCAGCUGGGAAGCUGAGGGCUCCUGGGAACAGGGCUGGCAGGAGCCAAGCUCCCAGGAGCCACCUCCUGACGGUACACGGCUGGCCAGCGAGUAUAACUGGGGUGGCCCAGAGUCCAGCGACAAGGGCGACCCCUUCGCUACCCUGUUUGCACGUCCCAGCACCCAGGUACCCAGCACAGGUCUGGCGAGAGGGUAGAGAUGGUGGACCUCAGCCAGAAGUGGGUCCCACUGCAGCCCACACUUCUCUUUACAGCCGAGGCCGGACUCUUGGGGUGAGGACAACUGGGAGGGCCUCGAGACUGACAGUCGUAAGUGCUUCCCCUGGGUGGGCUGAAGACUAGGGCUCCCCGACUAGCCCGCCCCUACAGGCCCCCGGCAGGCACUGGCUGGAGAGCUGAGACCGGGGCUCCCCUUCCUGACGCCAGGACAGGUCAAGGCUGAGCUGGCCCGGAAGAAGCGCGAGGAGCGGCGGCGGGAGAUGGAGGCCAAACGCGCCGAGAGGAAGGUGGCCAAGGGCCCCAUGAAGCUGGGAGCCCGGAAGCUGGACUGAACCGUGGCGGUGGCCCUUCCUGGCUGCGGAGAGCCCGCCCCGCAGAUGUAUUUAUUGUACAAACCAUGUGAGCCCGGCCGGCCCGGCCAGGCCAUCUCACGUGUACAUAAUCAGAGCCACAAUAAAUUCUAUUUCACA